AUAGCCGCAGUAUUUUGACYGUGCUAAGGUAGCRUAAUAAUUUGUCUCUUGAUUAGGGGUUGGUAUAAAKGAGUUGACGACGCUAUGGCUUUCUGAGGGGUAUAAUUAGAAUUUAAUAUUUGCUUCAAAAAGAGCAACUAAUCAAGGGGACGAUAAGACCCUGUGAAGCUUUUAUUUUUGAGGGGGGUUUGAAUUUUGUAUCUAUAGAUUUUUACAAAAAAAAAUUAGGCUGGGGCGGCACUUGGAGUUACACCAAGAAAUAUAACAAGGAUUUUUGAGGUUUAAGAACUUUUGAUGAGCAGUUAGAUUUAAGCUACUCCAGGGAUAACAGCACAAUUUUUUCGGAUAGACCAUAUUGAGGGAAGAGUUUGUGACCUCGAUGUUGAAUUGGGGGGCUUUUCUUGAGUAGAAACCAGAGRAAGGGGUCUGUUCGACCUUUAAUUCCCCA
rnacentral:rRNA from 1 species